GACGAACGCUGGCGGCGUGCUUAACACAUGCAAGUCGAACGCUGAAGCCUGGCUUUUGUUGGGUGGAUGAGUGGCGAACGGGUGAGUAACACGUGAGUAACCUGCCCCCUUCUUUGGGAUAACGCCCGGAAACGGGUGCUAAUACUGGAUAUUCACUGAUCUUCGCAUGGGGGUUGGUGGAAAGGUUUUUUCUGGUGGGGGAUGGGCUCGCGGCCUAUCAGCUUGUUGGUGGGGUGAUGGCCUACCAAGGCUUUGACGGGUAGCCGGCCUGAGAGGGUGACCGGUCACAUUGGGACUGAGAUACGGCCCAGACUCCUACGGGAGGCAGCAGUGGGGAAUAUUGCACAAUGGGCGAAAGCCUGAUGCAGCGACGCCGCGUGAGGGAUGGAGGCCUUCGGGUUGUAAACCUCUUUCGCUCAUGGUCAAGCCGCAACAUUGGUUGUGGUGAGGGUAGUGGGUAAAGAAGCGCCGGCUAACUACGUGCCAGCAGCCGCGGUAAUACGUAGGGCGCGAGCGUUGUCCGGAAUUAUUGGGCGUAAAGGGCUUGUAGGCGGUUGGUCGCGUCUGCCGUGAAAUCCUCUGGCUUAACUGGGGGCGUGCGGUGGGUACGGGCUGACUUGAGUGCGGUAGGGGAGACUGGAACUCCUGGUGUAGCGGUGGAAUGCGCAGAUAUCAGGAAGAACACCGGUGGCGAAGGCGGGUCUCUGGGCCGUUACUGACGCUGAGGAGCGAAAACGUGGGGAGCGAACAGG
rnacentral:rRNA from 1 species